rnacentral:rRNA from 1 species
AGAGUUUGAUCAUGGCUCAGGAUGAACGCUGGCGGCGUGCCUAACACAUGCAAGUCGAACGGGAUCCCCUGGAUUCGUCUGGGGGUGAGAGUGGCGAACGGGUGAGUAACACGUAGGUGACCUGCCCCAAAGGGGGGAAUAACUGCUGGAAACGGUGGCUAAUACCCCAUGUGCUCGAUGGUUCGGUCCGUCGAGUAAAGCUCCGGCGCUUUGGGAGGGGCCUGCGGCCCAUCAGGUAGUUGGUAGGGUAAUGGCCUACCAAGCCGAUGACGGGUAGGGGGCGUGAGAGCGUGAACCCCCACACUGGCACUGAGACACGGGCCAGACUCCUACGGGAGGCAGCAGUGAGGAAUAUUGCCCAAUGGACGCAAGUCUGAGGCAGCAACGCCGCGUGGGCGAUGAAGGCCUUCGGGUUGUAAAGCCCUUUUCUGGGGGACGAGGAAGGACGGUACCUCAGGAAUAAGUCACGGCUAACUACGUGCCAGCAGCCGCGGUAAUACGUAGGUGGCAAGCGUUAUCCGGAUUCACUGGGCGUAAAGCGCGUGCAGGCGGUUUCGUAAGUCGGACGUGAAAGCUCCUGGCUUAACUGGGAGAGGUCGUUCGAUACUGCGAGGCUUGAGGUCGGGAGAGGGACGUGGAAUUCCCGGUGUAGUGGUGGAAUGCGUAGAUAUCGGGAGGAACACCAGUGGCGAAGGCGACGUCCUGGCCCGCACCUGACGCUGAGACGCGAAAGCGUGGGUAGCGAACGGGAUUAGAUACCCCGGUAGUCCACGCCGUAAACGGUGGGUACUAGGUGUUGGUGGCUAUCGUCAUCAGUGCCGUAGCUAACGCGUUAAGUACCCCGCCUGGGGACUACGGCCGCAAGGCUAAAACUCAAAGGAUUGACGG